ACCUUCUCACCUUCUCACCUUCAAACUCCCUUCUCUCUUGCGAUACCCAGAGUCUAUACCCACAGUCACAGUCACUCUCUCAUUCCUCUCACCUUCAGCAUCUCUCUUCUUCAUCGAUUUCUUCUCUGUCCUCCAUCUCUGUCAUCAUCUAUUCUUAAACCCUAAAAGAGCGAGCCGUAGACCUCCUCCUCGUCAUCGAGAAGGGCCAUCAGAGUCCCUUUGUUAACCUUCGUCGUCGUCAUCCUCUUCCUCAAUGGAGUCCUCUUUCUCGUCGUCGUUGUCCUCCAGAGAUAGAUCAGUCGUUGGUCACUCUAACUUUUGUGAGACAAUUUCUAUGUCUUCUUCUCAAAUCAACGGCGCCACCGCUUUUGAAGUCUCCGGUCGUCAGUGGAAUAAACAGAGGAUCAACCUCUGUUUAUAAAGGCUUGCUCAGUUAUUUCAAAAGGGUCUUGUUUAUAAAGGCUUCAAGGUCAUGCCAUUGUUAAUGUGUUGAAUCUUGCUAUUGUUGAAGACAAAUGUUUGAUAUUGAUACUUAAAAUGGUUGAGCUUGUAGAUAGAUUUAACCCCCUGAAUAUCCAGGAACGCUACUCAUGGACAGGAUGUAUCUGCAUUCUACACAAAGCGUCUUACACAGUAAUGAUUUCAUGAAGCUGAGGCAUUUUGGAGCAAUUGUGGUGGACAUCAGUCCUUUCUCCAGCACAAGUUUUUUGUGAAGGUUCACAACAAGUACUCCGGAAAAGUAUAUAUUGUUGCUGAAUCUUGGUGGGAAAAAAGAAACUGUUGAUACUUCAUAUGAAGUAUUGGAGAAAGUCUCUGGGGCUUCAUUAGUGGGAAAGAAUGAGUACUUCUGUUCCUUAUUUUUUCAAAUUAUUGUCAGACUGGAGUUUAGUAUGUGGUUUCUUUUGUUUACUUAGUUCAUGUAGUUAUUUAUGCGUAUCACAAUUAUAAAGAGACUGUGAACUGCAGGUAUGAACCAUUAUUUGACUACUUUAAGGAGUUCUCUGAUGUGGCAUUCAGAAGUUGUUGCCGACAACUACGUAACUGAUGACAGUGCUGCGGUGGUAGAUGCCUGAUUGCAGAGUACACAAAUCGAGUGGGAGAAAUAUCCAAGGAGCAUGGUUUGAAGCUUGACAUUGAUGGGGCUUGCAUUUUCAAUUCAUCAGUUAGCAUGAAAGUGGAGGUGAGGUGGUGAAAGUAGUUGAUGAAGCUAAAGUGAGCCAUGGAGAGCGUAAAGGACUUGUGAUGAAGCUAAAGUGAGCCAUGAAGUUGUUGAGACACCAGCUGAAGGAAUGGAGCAAUUAAAGUGCAAUUGUAGUCUGCUUUGGCCCAAGUUAUGGAGAAGAAGGAGCCAUCUUAGCUGCUGAGGAUGUUGGGAUUAUUAGGGGCAGUUGUUCUAUUCAUGUUCAUUGUCUUCGUGAGCUUAAGACUUUUAGAGUAUGAUGAGAGGCAUACGUUCAUUUGUUUGAACUAAUUCUACCUUUAAUUUACAAGGUUUUUUUUUUUUUUUUUUUUUUGGCUUAUAGACAAGUAUGGAUCAUAUGCGGGGUUGAAAAAUUUGUGAUUUAUGGAAGUGUUGGAUAUAUAUUUCUUGUA